rnacentral:rRNA from 1 species
GACGAACGCUGGCGGCGUGCUUAACACAUGCAAGUCGAACGGAAAGGCCCUUCUUUUGUUGGUUGCUCGAGUGGCGAACGGGUGAGUAACACGUGAGUAACCUUCCCUUGACUUUGGGAUAACUUCAGGAAACUGGGGCUAAUACCGGAUAGGAGCUCCUGCUGCAUGGUGGGGGUUGGAAAGUUUCGGCGGUUGGGGAUGGACUCGCGGCUUAUCAGCUUGUUGGUGGGGUAGUGGCUUACCAAGGCUUUGACGGGUAGCCGGCCUGAGAGGGUGACCGGCCACAUUGGGACGGAGAUACGGCCAAGACUCCUACGGGAGGCAGCAGUGGGAAAUAUUGCACAAUGGGCGGAAGCCUGAUGCAGCAACGCCGCGUGCGGGAUGACGGCCUUCGGGUUGUAACCCGCUUUCGCAUGUGACGAAGCGUGAGUGACGGUAAUGGGUAAAGAAGCACCGGCUAACUACGUG